AACGAACGCUGGCGGCAUGCCUAACACAUGCAAGUCGAACGAGACCUUCGGGUCUAGUGGCGCACGGGUGCGUAACGCGUGGGAACCUGCCCUUAGGUUCGGAACAACUCCCCGAAAGGGGUGCUAAUACCGGAUAAUGUCUUCGGACCAAAGAUUUAUCGCCUUUGGAUGGGCCCGCGUUGGAUUAGCUAGUUGGUAGGGUAAAAGCCUACCAAGGCGACGAUCCAUAGCUGGUCUGAGAGGAUGAUCAGCCACACUGGGACUGAGACACGGCCCAGACUCCUACGGGAGGCAGCAGUGGGGAAUAUUGGACAAUGGGCGAAAGCCUGAUCCAGCAAUGCCGCGUGAGUGAUGAAGGCCUUAGGGUUGUAAAGCUCUUUUACCCGGGAUGAUAAUGACAGUACCGGGAGAAUAAGCUCCGGCUAACUCCGU
rnacentral:rRNA from 1 species